GGAUAUGGGAGGCUCUGCAACAGCAUAUUCUACAAAGAAAAAGAUAAAUGAACAGAAUUCACUCUAAGAUUCACCAUGGAUGUUUACUAGUCAACUUGAUGUCCCAAACCAUCUGCCUAUCUAACACAGCUGAUCUUAAGUUCAUGCUUCACAGCUAUUGGAUGCCCCUUAACCAAGGACUUAGGGCUCAAAUAUUUGAAGAACACUGGAGUCAGGAGACCAGGAUUUCAGAUCUGACUGACACUAACUAGGCUCACCUGGGAGAAACCAGAUGCUCUGUAGGAAAUGCAACGGUCCUGCAAACACCAUGCUAUGGGAAGCCCAAGCCAUGUGCAGAGGCCCUGGAGGAAGAGAUUCAUUGUGUCGAGCAAGAGACCACAUGCAUGAGGAAGCCAUCUUAGAAAUGGAUCCUUCAUCCCACCCAUUUCAGUGUUCCAUGGAAAGCCCAAGGCUCUCAGGAACUGAAGCCCAAAGUGCUUAGUCAUCCAAGAUAUAUAUUACCUUACAGAGGAAGAAACUGGAACAUUUGUUCACACUGCAGAAGAGCCCCUUUCUCUGCUGCCGUUGCUGCCAUCAACAGUAAACACUAGAAGUUUAGGAGCUGAAACCCCAUUGAUUGGCAGACUGCUCUGUCAAGACUGUGGAAUCAAUGGUAGUUUCUCAACAUGUGCUUUGGAGAAGAAGGGAAGACAACUUAUCUGAGGUUCUCUAUAUUCCAGGAGGCCUGAACCUCUGGGAUUGGAUCCCCAGGUGAGCAGCUGACUCAGUUCUCACACCUGCUGCCCUGCCCUCAUUCUGGAGUGACUGUCAGAAGGGGAUUGAGCCUCAGCCACCUGGCCUAGGGCUAGUCCUCCUCUCCAACAACCCAGAUCCUGGAGUUGUGUGCCUAGUUUUGGACUCUCCUUUCCAUCAAAUGACUUUCCCUCUAGAAAGUCCUUUCGUCUCUCCUGCAGGCAGCAUCUGUUGGAUUCACCCUAGUCCAGGAUUAAUCUAUGGCCAGAGGGCCACAUCCGGACCACUACCUGUUUUGGUAAAUAAAAUUUUAUCAGAACGUA
rnacentral:lncRNA from 10 species